rnacentral:ncRNA from 2 species
GCACCGAAGCCGCGGGUUUCGGAAGUCGGUCGUCAGAGGUCAGAAGUCGGAGGGGAAGGUAUGAUUCAAGGCUAUCAGGACCUGGAAGUGUAUAGACGGUCCUACAGGCUUGCCUUGGAAAUGCACAGGGUUACACAAACUUUCCCUGGUAUAGAAAGGCAUGAAUUAGGAAGUCAGGUUCGGCGAGCUGCCAUAUCCAUCGUGUUAAAUAUCGUAGAGGGGUAUGGUCGUAAGGACUCAUCGGCCGAAUUUAAGCACUUUCUAAGGAAUGCCUUGGGCUCAUGUAAUGAAACGAGAGUACUAAUUGACAUAGUAGCAGAUCUUGGUUAUAUAACGCGAGAACAACAUUCAAGGUUAAGCCAGGAAUAUGAAAUUCUAGGUAAACAAAUUUAUCGUCUUAAAGAAACAUGGGCCAAGAAGAAAUCCGACAUCUGACAUCCGACGACCGACUUCCGAGGCGGUAGGGGAGCGUUCUCACCGGGCAGAAGUCACACUGAGAAGUGUGGUGGACUGGUGAGAAGUGAGAAUGCCGGUAUAAGUAAGCGAAAAGGCAGGUGAGAAUCCUGCCCGCCGAAAGCCUGAGGUUUCCUGGGGAAGGCUCGUCCGCCCAGGGUAAGCCGGGGCCUAAGCCGAGGCCGGAAGGCGUAGGUGAUGGGGAAUCGGUUGAGAAUCCGAUGCCACCGGCAGGCCGCUUGAGGAAGGGGUGACGCAGGAGGGUAGGCCAAGCGCGCGGGUGGAAAAGCGCGUCCAAGCCGGUAGGGUGUGAGGCAGGCAAAUCCGUCUCACGGAAAGCCCGAGAGGUGAUGGGGAGGGAAAUUGGAGUACCGAAGUGGCUGAGCCCAUACUGCCAAGAAAAACCUCUAACGAGGAAUGCCGGUGCCCGUACCGCAAACCGACACAGGUAGGCGAGGAGAGGAUCCUCAGGCGCGCGAGAGAACCCUCGUUAAGGAACUCGGCAAAAUGACCCCGUAACUUCGGGAGAAGGGGUGCCCCGGUAGCGUGAAGGUAUAAACUACUGGAGCGCGAGGGGGCCGCAGAGAAGAGGCCCAAGCGACUGUUUACCAAAAACACAGGUCCCUGCCAAAUCGAAAGAUGAAGUAUAGGGGCUGACGCCUGCCCGGUGCUGGAAGGUUAAGGGGAAGGGUUAUCUGGCGGAAGCUGGAGAAGCUCUGAACCGAAGCCCCAGUAAACGGCGGCCGUAACUAUAACGGUCCUAAGGUAGCGAAAUUCCUUGUCGGGUAAGUUCCGACCCGCACGAAAGGCGUAACGACUUGGGCGCUGUCUCGACGAGGGGCUCGGCGAACUUGUAGUACCCGUGAAGAUGCGGGUUACCUGCGACGGGACAGAAAGACCCCGUGGAGCUUUACUGCAGCCUGACAUUGGACUUCGGUAUUGCAUGUACAGGAUAGGUGGGAGGCAUGGAAGCCGGGGCGCCAGC